CAACCCUUAUCGUUAGUUGCCAUCAGUCAGUUGGGGACUCUAACGAAAAUGCCCGUGGAUAAACCUGAGGAAGGUUGGGAUUACCUCCAAUCCUCCUGCCCCUUUUGAACUGGGCUACUCACCUUCUACCAUUGUCGGUACAACAAGUCACAAGUCUGCUAAGGGCAGCCAAUCUCUUAAAACUGUUUCCAGUUCGGAAUGUGAGCUGCAACUCCACUACAUGAAAUUCGAAUCGCCUGUUAUCUCGGAUCCGCACUCCCCGGUUAAUACCUUCCCCGGGCUUGUUUAUACCCCCCGUCCCAA
rnacentral:rRNA from 1 species